rnacentral:misc_RNA from 1 species
CGUAACAAGGUUUCCGUAGGUGAACCUGCGGAAGGAUCAUUACCUAGAGUUGUAGGCUUUGCCUGCUAUCUCUUACCCAUGUCUUUUGAGUACCUUCGUUUCCUCGGCGGGUUCGCCCGCCGAUUGGACAAUUUAAACCAUUUGCAGUUGCAAUCAGCGUCUGAAAAAACAUAAUAGUUACAACUUUCAACAACGGAUCUCUUGGUUCUGGCAUCGAUGAAGAACGCAGCGAAAUGCGAUAAGUAGUGUGAAUUGCAGAAUUCAGUGAAUCAUCGAAUCUUUGAACGCACAUUGCGCCCCUUGGUAUUCCAUGGGGCAUGCCUGUUCGAGCGUCAUUUGUACCUUCAAGCUCUGCUUGGUGUUGGGUGUUUGUCUCGCCUCUGCGUGUAGACUCGCCUCAAAACAAUUGGCAGCCGGCGUAUUGAUUUCGGAGCGCAGUACAUCUCGCGCUUUGCACUCAGAACGACGACGUCCAAAAGUACAUUUUUACACUCUUGACCUCGGAUCAGGUAGGGAUACCCGCUGAACCUAAGCAUAUC